rnacentral:rRNA from 1 species
GAUGAACGCUGGCGGCGUGCCUAAUACAUGCAAGUAGAACGCUGAAGGAGGAGCUUGCUCUUCUGGAUGAGUUGCGAACGGGUGAGUAACGCGUAGGUAACCUGCCUGUUAGCGGGGGAUAACUAUUGGAAACGAUAGCUAAUACCGCAUGACAACAGUUAUUGCAUGAUAACUGUUUAAAAGGGGCAACUGCUCCACUACCAGAUGGACCUGCGUUGUAUUAGGUAGUUGGUGAGGUAACGGCUCACCAAGGCGACGAUACAUAGCCGACCUGAGAGGGGGAUCGGCCACACUGGGACUGGGACACGGCCCAGACUCCUACGGGAGGCAGCAGGAGGGGAACUUCGGCAAUGGACGGAAGGCUGAACGAGCAACGCCGCGUGAGGGAAGAAGGGUUUCGGAUCGUAAAGAUCUGUUGUAAGAGAAGAACGAGUGUGAGAGUGGAAAGUUCACACUGUGACGGUAUCUUACCAGAAAGGGACGGCUAACUACGUG